rnacentral:rRNA from 1 species
AGCAGCCGCGGUAAUUCCAGCUCCAAUAGCAUAUAUUAAAGUUGUUGCAGUUAAAAAGCUCGUAGUUGAAUUUCGGGAUUAGUAGUCUGGUCGUGCCACUGGUAUGUACUGGUCUUACUGAUUUCUCCUUCUUGAAGAACCGUAAUGUCAUUAAUUUGGUGUUGCGGGGAAUCUGGACUGUUACUUUGAAAAAUUAGAGUGUUUAAAGCAGGCUAACGCUUGAAUACAUUAGCAUGGAAUAAUGAAAUAGGACGUUCGAUCCUAUUUUGUUGGUUUCUAGGAUUGACGUAAUGAUUAAUAGGGAUAGUUGGGGGCAUUAGUAUUCAAUUGUCAGAGGUGAAAUUCUUGGAUUUAUUGAAGACUAACUACUGCGAAAGCAUUUGCCAAGGAUGUUUUCAUUAAUCAAGAACGAAAGUUAGGGGAUCGAAGACGAUCAGACACCGUCGUAGUCUUAACCAUAAACUAUGCCGACUAGGGAUCGGAUGGUGUUAAUUUUAUAAUGACUCAUUCGGCGUCCG